GAUGAACGCUGGCGGCGUGCCUAAUACAUGCAAGUCGAGCGAACAGACGAGGAGCUUGCUCCUCUGACGUUAGCGGCGGACGGGUGAGUAACACGUGGAUAACCUACCUAUAAGACUGGGAUAACUUCGGGAAACCGGAGCUAAUACCGGAUAAUAUAUUGAACCGCAUGGUUCAAUAGUGAAAGACGGUUUUGCUGUCACUUAUAGAUGGAUCCGCGCCGCAUUAGCUAGUUGGUAAGGUAACGGCUUACCAAGGCAACGAUGCGUAGCCGACCUGAGAGGGUGAUCGGCCACACUGGAACUGAGACACGGUCCAGACUCCUACGGGAGGCAGCAGUAGGGAGUCUUCCGCAAUGGGCGAAAGCCUGACGGAGCAACGCCGCGUGAGUGAUGAAGGUCUUCGGAUCGUAAAACUCUGUUAUUAGGGAAGAGCAAAUGUGUAAGUAACUAUGCACGUCUUGACGGUACCUAAUCAGAAAGCCACGGCUAACUACGUG
rnacentral:rRNA from 1 species